UACGGAGGGGGCGAGCGUUACCCGGAUUUACUGGGUGUAAAGGGCGUGUAGGCGGUCUCUCAAGUCCGAUGCUAAAGACCGAAGCUCAACUUCGGGGGUGCGUUGGAUACUGUGAGGCUAGACGGUCGGAGAGGGUAGCGGAAUUUCCGGAGUAGCGGUGAAAUGCUCAGAUACCGGAAGGAACGCCAAUAGCGAAGGCAGCUACCUGGACGAUUUGUGACGCUGAGGCCCGAAAGCGUGGGGAGCAAACCGG
rnacentral:rRNA from 1 species